rnacentral:piRNA from 1 species
UUAAUUAGUCAAUUACAUUAG